AAAAAGGGCAAACCACUCGAAAGGGUGGGACGCAAAGCCAUGGGUCUAAGUUCCUUUAUGGAAUAUGAUUGCCAAGCUGCCGA
rnacentral:ncRNA from 1 species